GCGAAUAAUUAGGCGCACUCCUGGGUUUGAAAAGUGUUUAGUUUAUUGUGUCCAUAAAUUCAAAGUUCAAUAGAUCUAUUGAACUUUGAAUUUAUGGACACAGUAAACUAAACACUUUUCAAACCCAGGAGUGCGCCUAAUUAUUCGC